GACGAACGCUGGCGGCGUGCUUAACACAUGCAAGUCGAACGAAGAGCGACGGAAGCUUGCUUCUAUCAAUCUUAGUGGCGAACGGGUGAGUAACGCGUAAUCAACCUGCCCUUCAGAGGGGGACAACAGUUGGAAAUGACUGCUAAUACCGCAUACGAUCUAAUCUCGGCAUCGAGGAUGGAUGAAAGGUGGCCUCUACAUGUAAGCUAUCACUGAAGGAGGGGAUUGCGUCUGAUUAGCUAGUUGGAGGGGUAACGGCCCACCAAGGCGAUGAUCAGUAGCCGGUCUGAGAGGAUGAACGGCCACAUUGGGACUGAGACACGGCCCAGACUCCUACGGGAGGCAGCAGUGGGGAAUCUUCCGCAAUGGACGAAAGUCUGACGGAGCAACGCCGCGUGAGUGAUGACGGCCUUUGGGUUGUAAAGCUCUGUUAAUCGGGACGAAAGGCCUUCUUGCGAAUAGUGAGAAGGAUUGACGGUACCGGAAUAGAAAGCCACGGCUAACUACGUG
rnacentral:rRNA from 1 species